CUAUCAUCCGUUCCACUCCUUAUUUUUCCCUUUCAAGAUUUUUUGCUCUCUCCCGCGCCUCUAUGAUCUCUUCUCAUGUACUUUCCUUAUCUCCAGGUUCCAAAUUAUUUUCAAAUUCAUGCCUUAUUUUACAUGUUUUUGUUGUGAUUGUUUUCAUUAAGCAUAAUCAUUUUGCAAUAUUAUCUUUAUGUUAUGAGUGAGUUGAAGACGGUGCCUUCCACAUGUUUGAUGAAAUGCAACACUAGGACCACUUCUCAGUUGAAGUGAAAAUUGCUACGACCACAGUUUGUAGGUUGAUGCAUGACACCUAAGUGUUGGUAUCCUUCGUACUUCGCCCGUGUUUGGUUUAAAAACAUAAUAUAUCAUUUUGUGGAAUUCAUGUAGAUAGAACAUAAUAUAUUUGUGGUUUCAUUUUUACUGUCUUAAGUGACUAGGAAUAAUUAGAUCUUAUUGUUCAAGCUCAAUAUUGGAGGUUAAAGGUAUUAUAAUAAAGGCCCACUGGUUUAAAGGCCCACGAGAGAUAAAAAUAUCUCGUGUUUAGAACCUGAGCCAAGAAAGGCAGUGCUGGUCCGCGAGGAGAAGGAGCACGAGGCUCACUGGCAGCAUUCAGGCAUGGCUUCUGGAAGGAGAGAGAGCAGAUCGGCGGAAAGGCUUUAUCAGAAGGCGAUUGUAGGUUUCAAGAUCUGCCUCUUACAUGAGGAUCUGUGUCUUUCAUUGAGGCUUUUCUAAUGUGUAUUUGUAAUGGAGGAGUUAAGUUUGGAGAUCAAUCCUACCGUGAUAUAUUCAAACCUGCAGUUUGGUGACCAAGAUGGAAUAGACUCUGAUGGACUUCUUCAACAUCCAUUGGGGAUUAUGUGUGGAAAUGAUGGUGAAAUUUAUAUCACAUAUAGACACAAUCACAAGGUAGACAACUCACACCCAGGUAAUUUUGAAUUGCCAUGGCUCUGCCAUGCGAUAUAUCUUAUUGAUAACACUGACUGAAUUAUAUAACUCACUAACGUAUCUCAGUUCAAAAGGCUUUUUUGCUAUGCAAAAGUACGGGGGUGGAUUCUAUAUAGCCUUACCCUUGCAUGUCAGAAACGCUAUUUCUGGAUUUGGAUCCACGACCAGCUGAGUUAUAUAUAUGCACGCACGCACACACACCAAGAAAAGAACGAAUUUUUAGAAUAAGUUACAUGUUCCUUUUGUCUUUGCAUACAUUUUCCAAUUUCUGUCAUUGCUGAAAUUUCCAAUUCUUGCUGGUCAUCCGGCUGAUUUCUAUGAAAAUUUGGGUGUCGGGCAGGUUUAAACUCUUUUAAACAUUAAUUAGAUACUUAUUUUAACCUUUUAUGUCAAAUUUUUCGAGGGUAGCCAAUUCUUUUUCUACAUACCUUAUUAGGUCAUAUACGUGAUUUAAUUCUAAAUACUAUCGAAUACUCAGAUUUAUGUCAUCAAACUUAUCUUGGAGCUUUGGAAUCAAACAUGAUACACCUUACUCUGACACAAUUUAAUUAAUUGAAUGGUCAGACUUUAGUUCCAUUAUCCUCACUGACUGAAUUUCCUAUUCUCCUUCCUGUAUGUUUUAAAUUAUCAAACUAAGAAGCUAGAUCUUACUAGUAAAAGAGUUAACAACAUUGCAGGAACUGGAAAAGCUGGUUUCAAAGCUGGAACGGCUGUAAAAGCUUAGGCUGGUAAAAUGUUCUAUGCCGUUUUAGAUAACAUGAAUAAUAAUACAUCUUUAUAGACAAGUAUUUAAACAUGUGUAUAAAUUAAGUUGUAUAAAAUU